rnacentral:rRNA from 1 species
UACAGAGGGUGCAAGCGUUAAUCGGAAUUACUGGGCGUAAAGCGCGCGUAGGUGGUUUGUUAAGUUGGAUGUGAAAGCCCCGGGCUCAACCUGGGAACUGCAUCCAAAACUGGCAAGCUAGAGUACGGUAGAGGGUGGUGGAAUUUCCUGUGUAGCGGUGAAAUGCGUAGAUAUAGGGAGGAACACCAGUGGCGAAGGCGACCACCUGGACUGCAACUGACACUGAGGAACGAAAGCCAGGGGAGCAAACGGG